CGCUCCCUGAAAAUAAAAUUAAUAUAUAGGGGGUUCUGCCUGCCCAGUGACAAUAGUUAAACGGCCGCGGUAUUUUGACCGUGCAAAGGUAGCAUAAUCAUUUGCCUUUUAAAUGGAGGCUGGUAUGAAUGGCAAGACGGGAAUUUAGCUGUCUCUCUUUUAGUAUCUUGAAUUUAAUAUCUUUGUGAAGAAGCGAAGAUUAGUUCGUAGGACGAGAAGACCCUAUUGAGCUUAAGUUAAAAAUUAUUAACACAGAGGUUUUAUUUUUAGGCUAAUUAAAAAUAAAAGUAAUUUUAUCUUAAAAUAGAAGGGUGUUGUUUAAUUGGUACUUUGGUUGGGGCAAUCGCGGAGAAAAUUAAUCCUCCGAUAUAAAUUUGAAGCAAAAAAUUACUAUUUUAAAGUAAUAAUUAAAUUAUAAAAAAUGAUCCACUUGUUUAAAGUGAUCAAAGGAAAAAGUUACCAUAGGGAUAACAGCGUAAUUUUUUUGGAGAGUUCAUAUUGAUAAAAAAGUUUGCGACCUCGAUGUUGGAUCGGGACUUCCAGGAGAUGCAGCAGUUUCUAAGGGUUGGUCUGUUCGACCAUUAAAGUCCU
rnacentral:rRNA from 1 species